GCAAGAGAAGAGGUAGGAAUGGAUAUGGAAGCCAGUGCUGGUGCUGAAGCAAGUAAAAUCCUCAUAUUUGGAGGAACCAGUUACAUAGGAAAAUAUAUGGUCAAGGCAAGCUUCAAGUUAGGACAUAAAACUUUCGUUUAUGCCCGCCCUAUCACUCCACAAUCCAAUCCAGACAAUAUAAACUUGCUCAAAGAGUUUGACUGUAUCGGCACUACCAUCGUCCAGGGAGAGUUGGACGAACAUGAUAAGAUUGUGGCAAUACUUCGUCAAGUAGAUGUGGUCAUCUCAUUGCUACCAUUCCCCCAGGUUCCUGAUCAGAUUCAUAUAAUUGAAGCCAUUAAAGUUGCUGGUAACAUAAAGGCAAGUGAAAACAUUGUCGUUUUAAUAAAAUAUUUGUUUUCCCGUUCAUAAAAGAAUGAAGAAACUGAUGCAGUUAGUUUUAUGCAUUUGCUAUGUAUAUAGAGGUUCCUUCCAUCGGAUUUCGGGGUUGAAGAGGACAGAAUGAAUUUUCUGCCACCUUUUGAAGCUUGUUUAGACACAAAGCGAAAUAUUGGAAGGACAGUGGAAGUAGCUGGGAUCCCUUACACUUAACGCAUCUGCAAAUUGUUUUGCUGCGUACUUUCUGAAUUACUUGUUUCGUCCACAUGAAGAACAUCAUGAUAUAAUUGUCUAUGGAUCCGGUGAAGCCAAGGGUACAUAAUUAACAUUCAUUUGAAUCUUUGAUUGCUUUAAAUUAUUACAGUCCAUGUACAUGAGUUUUAAAUUGAUUUUUGUUGUCACGUUCAAUACCGUUCAAUUAUGAAGAAGAUAUUGCAGAAUACACAAUCAAAGUGGCAAAUGACCCAAGAACAUGCAACCGAGUCGUAAUUUAUCGAAUGCUAAAAAAUAUUUUGUCCCAGAUUGAGUUGAUUUCUUUGUAGGAGACGAAAACAGGGAGGAGUUUCAGGAAGACUCAUGUAUCAGAGGAAGAACUUGUGAAACUGUCAGAGAAUAAUGUACGAGCGUCGAUCCUUCACAGCAUAUUUGCAAAGGGUGGUCUUCUCAACUAUAAGCUUGGGGAGAAUGACCUUGAAGCUUCCAGUCUAUAUCCGGAUCAUAAGUACACCACCAUUGAUCAACUUCUCGACAUUUUUCUGGUUGAUCCACCCAAGCCUGCUCUUGCUGCACUUUGAAUGAGACUUUAUAUCAUUUUCAGCUCGCCAGCUACUUCUCAAACAUAUAUAUAUAUAUAUAUAUAUAUGUUCUAGUGAUAAUAAUUCCCAAUCUCCAUCACAGUUGAAUGAAGCGUCUUUUACUACUCCUUUGUAACAUUU